rnacentral:lncRNA from 1 species
CGGGAAUCCCGGCAGUGCCUUCCUCAGCCCUGGUGCUGCUUGCAUCCUCAUCCUCCCCUCCAGCUGGACCAAUGUCGGGCAUCAUGGAGCCACCAGCCAUGCUGGAGGAUGAGAGUGCUCCAGAGAACAGGAGAUCCACGUACCUGAGGGUGGCUUUUUAUGCUCUCAUUUUUGUGUUGAUUAUUAUCUCAACCCUGGUCCCCAUCGCCUUCUGUUUGCUCUAUCAGCAGGCACCGGGGGUCUGCUGGGCACAUGGAUCUCUGAACGAGUCUUCUUCACAAGACCCAGCAGUUUUGAUCUGGACUUGGAAAUUACGCCACUGCAAGGGGAUUGUGCAGGGCCAAGGGGAGUACCUCAUCAUCCAGGAGAGUGGCAGAUACUUCAUCUAUGUUCAGCUCUUCCGCAAGGAGCCCCUCAAGGUGCCUUUUUCAGUGAUGCUUUUCGAAAACAAAACAUCAACCCUGCUCAACAAUGCUGUGGGGCCUGAGAAUGGCACAGUCUACUUUGCAAGGCCCUUCAUGCUGAAGAAGGGAGACAAACUGAUCUGUAAGAAAAACGAACAGGACUACUACAAUCUGCUUGAGAAUCAGACUUAUUGGGGCCUGUUUAAAAUGUAGCAGGACUGCUCUGAGUCAGCUCCUCCCUUAUUUCCUCCAGGAAACCUCAGGUCGUGGAUGAGGAAUCUGGAAUGUCUCUUUGGGUGAAAUUCAGCUUGCUGGAGUAAGCUCGUGUCCUGCAGUGACAGUGAACAGCGAACUUUGGUGGUGAUGGAUGACUGCUGAUGGACACAAAGCAUGAGCAAAAGAUGGAGGGAGAAAACCCCUGGAUGGUUUGUGGGGUUGACUCUGAGAUCCUGGAAAAACAAGUGCCUAUAUUCAGCCUGUUCUGAGCUGGGGAGGAGCUCUACUCUGCAGCUGGCUGCAUUUCACAGCUGGGUACCUUGGUCAGUCCCCUGGGUCCCUUCUAACAAGAGGUGCUACGUAAAGACAAGAUAUUUUAUGUCCUUCCCACACAAGCUGCCAGUGAAACAACCUGUCCACAGCAGAGGGACAAAAUGGUUCAGAAACAGCACAGGAAGAGCUUCUCAGCCCCUCCACAGCCUUGCCACUAGCAAGGGAAGCACACCAAGAAAACUCCAUCUCCAUGGGCAGUUCAGAGCACAGGGAGCUUUCCCAGUGGAGCUUCCCAGUGAAAUCCAAGGCAGCUGCAUGGCAUGGUGCAGACAGCCCAGCACAGGGAGCCUGGGAUGCAGCCCAGGGGGAUGGAUCACUGCUGGCUGGGCAGCACAAAGCUGCUGAGGCUGUGCAGGAGAGCUAAUGGUAGGGGAGAGUGAGCACAGAGGGGAGACAAGAGGAUGGAGGCUUGGAGAGCUGUUCCCAGAGUUUUCUCUCCCAUGCAGUGUAGUGGGCAGGGCAGGGCAGACACCAUGCCAUGAAAUGGGGAAGGGCUGAGCAUCCCCCCCUUCCCACAGGCACAGCUCUGCCAUCCAGCACAGAGCACUGCCAGGAGCACAGCAGGGAUAAUGUGAGCCAGCAGGGAAGCAGGGCACCCUUCCCCUGCUCACUGCAGGCUCUCUCUGCUGUGCCACCCCAAAUGGUCACCUGCAGGUCACAGCAC